GGUUUAUGUGGGACGGAGAAGUCCGGCUGGCUGGCUCUGAUUUGAAACCUCUGUGUGCUCACUGUGUGGUUAAGUUGCAUAAGUCUGUCUCCGGGGCAUCUGAGGAAAAAAUGUAGACUUUGCAAAUGAGGGAUUGUAUUUGCAGCCUCGCUCCACUGGAAUAUCUCCCACCUAUUCUGCAAUCGCAAUAAUGGGCAGUAAAGGGUGUUUUAGAGUCACGGCCUUGCUGGAAGAAAAUAUUGUGGUUCUUAGAAGAACGAAAAAAGCAAUGAGUGAUGUGAAAUGGAGCGUCAUUCUCCGUGGCGUUUGUGAGAUGAUGUGUCACCUGCACACCCCGGAGUCACAUCAGCAAGAGACUGGAGCAAACCGUGUUUAUUGCAUUUGCAAACGUUAGCAUAUGCUGCAGAAACACUCUUUGGGUUCUUCUUACUCGCAUACUGACCCUCGCGUUUGCAUGCCGUCUGAGGUGCACUGCCAGCUGACUUCAGUCCCUUUGAAAGAUAACAUCAAAUUCACCAAUAAAAUUUGCCAUCAGAUUUGUCCUUGCAACUGAUAACUCUCAGGGAAAAAAAGGGAUGAGGCAUAAAAUAAACCAUUCAAGGAAA